GUCAGCUACUGCCACCUCCGCGGCAUCUCCCACCGCGAUUCGAAGCCGGAGAAUCUUCUCCUGGACGAGAACGGCAAUCUGAAGGUCCUCGAAUUCAGUCUGAGCGCUUUGACCGACCACGUCCAACAAAGCUCCACAUAUUAAAAUUCUGAAAUUCUAACAAACAGACAUAUAGUCUAUAGAUGCAGAUUCAUGAUCAACCACAAAUUUCUCUAAACAAAUCAAAUAUAACAUAUAUAAGUAAACAAACUUAAAUAACAUUCAUGUUUAUCAUCAAUCAUAUGUUUAUAAAUUCAUGGAUUGGUACCUCAACAAAGGGGGAAAGGGUGAGCGAUCUCCAAAGAGAGAUGGGGCAGGGGCAGGGGCAGGGGAAAAGAAAGUUGCAGCCUCAUAUGUAUGGUUGGAAGAGGGUCGCCGAAAUCAAUGAAAGCGGCGGUCAGCAGCGGUGGCGGUGCGGCGGCAGAAGGAGGAGAAGAGAAAGGGGAAAAAGAACGAGAUUCAAAUAGAGAGGAAUUGCGGUGAGAAAUGGAGAGGAAGAGGGAUUUGGUAAAGAGGUAAAAUUUGUGCAAGCCAUAUCCACAUGUGGUGCUGUCAUCUCAAAAGCAGCAAUUCAGGAGAUAAGAAGUACACGCAGCAGACGAUGGGGCAACCUCGGAACUUGUUGGAGGAUAGAAGCAAAGAUAAAGGAAUAAUGUGAUGAUUGCAGCCAUGGAGAUUCCCUCGCCGUCAAUAAUUGUAGGCGGCCCAAAAACAAAGGAAAACGAAAGCAUAAAAGAAAAGAAAAAAAAAACAAGGAUUGCGACACACCAAGGCGGCGACGGCGGCGGCGGCUACGGCGGUGGUCAACAAUGGUUGGCCAGAUUUGAGGUCAUGCUUCUAAACGGCGUCGUUCCGCAGGAAGCAGAAUAUAAGAAAAGGUGAAAGAAAAAUAAAGUCAAGCACGCAUGUCGUGGUCGAGCAGCUUGAGAACUAAAGGAAAAAGAAAAGAAUUGUAACACGUGAUUGGACCGACAGAUUGAAACGACCCAGUUUCAUCAUCAAAUGGGCCAAAAAAAAGUGG
rnacentral:lncRNA from 1 species